UACAGAGGGUGCGAGCGUUAAUCGGAAUUACUGGGCGUAAAGCGUGCGUAGACGGUUAUUUAAGUCGGGUGUGAAAGCCCCGGGCUCAACCUGGGAAUUGCAUUCGAGACUGAAUAGCUAGGGUACGGUAGAGGGAAGUGGAAUUUCCGGUGUAGCGGUGAAAUGCGUAGAUAUCGGAAGGAACAUCAGUGGCGAAGGCGACUACCUGGCCUGUUCUUGACGCUGAGAAGCGAAAGCAUGGGGAGCGAACAGG
rnacentral:rRNA from 1 species